rnacentral:rRNA from 1 species
AUUGAACGCUGGCGGCAUGCCUUACACAUGCAAGUCGAACGGUAACGCGGGGCAACCUGGCGACGAGUGGCGAACGGGUGAGUAACGCAUCGGAACGCGCCCAGUGGUGGGGGAUAGCCCGGCGAAAGCCGGAUUAAUACCGCAUACGACCUACGGGUGAAAGCGGCGGAUCGCAAGACCUCUCUCUAUUGGAACGGCCGAUGUCCGAUUAGGUAGUUGGUGGGGUAAAGGCCUACCAAGCCGACGAUCUGUAGCUGGUCUGAGAGGACGACCAGCCACACUGGGACUGAGACACGGCCCAGACUCCUACGGGAGGCAGCAGUGGGGAAUUUUGGACAAUGGGCGCAAGCCUGAUCCAGCCAUGCCGCGUGCGGGAUGAAGGCCUUCGGGUUGUAAACCGCUUUUGUCAGGGAAGAAACGCUCUGGGCUAAUACCCCGGGGUAAUGACGGUACCUGAAGAAUAAGCACCGGCUAACUACGUGCCAGCCGCCGCAGUAAGAC